ACAGCGCACGAGUGCGGAUCGGGUUCGGAUACGGUUACGGACUUGAUUUUGAUUACCGUUGCGCUUGCGAGCCUGCAAAUUUUGAACUGUCGACGCGUUGCCAAUUCUACCGAAGUAGCAGCAGCCGCAGCUGUUCAGUGUCGCAUUGGAAGGCAAUUUGAUUGCCACCGGCUUUCUGGUUAUUGAUUUCUAAAAGAAAUUGGACAGAGAAAGGCGAAUCAACUCACAAGCCGACCCUUGCUGGAAAAGUGA